UACGUAGGCAGCAAGCGUUGUUCGGAAUUACUGGGCGUAAAGAGUGUGUAGGUGGUGCUCCAAGUCUGUUGUGAAAUCUCCCGGCUUAACUGGGAGGGUGCGGCGGAAACUGGUGUGCUUGAGGGUGGGAGAGGUAAGCGGAAUUCCUGGUGUAGCGGUGAAAUGCGUAGAUAUCAGGAGGAACACCUGUGGUGUAGACAGCUUACUGGACCACUUCUGACACUGAGACACGAAAGCGUGGGUAGCAAACAGG
rnacentral:rRNA from 1 species